AGCAGGGUGGCGCAGUGGGAGCGUGCUGGGCCAUAACCCAGAGGUCAAUGGAUCCAAACCAUUUCCUGCUA
rnacentral:tRNA from 1 species